rnacentral:lncRNA from 12 species
UCUCUGGCUGCCUCCAGAAGGAAAGAUGCUCGAGGGCCUUCUGUCAGCUUGCUGUGGCCUCCUGUGCCAGGGGAAUGUUAAGGAAUGCAUUGCAGAGGUGCCUCCUUUGGCUGCACAGGUGCAGCAGUUGAUUUGAACUGAAAUGAGAAAACUGGGAUGACUGGGGCAAAAGUCAACAAGCAUCGCAAUCCAUGAUGAAGAUUUCUUAUCAGUAAUGAGGACAAGAUACUCCUGGCCUAUUCUUCACUGAAACAAAUAAAAUUCCAAGAUGGAAAAUGC